ACAGCUACCAUUGACUCUCACCUGAUCCCUGAUGCACACCCAGAGGAAAAGAUGUCUGUGUGACUGUGUGGAUGCAGGAGGUGUGGAACGUGUGCCUGCAGUUCAUGCAUUUGGACGUGCCAGGCCAUAUCUCUCCAUACAUGUGACUGACCCCGUGCUAUUUGCUGACUGUGAUGAUGCAGCUUCUCAAGGCUCUGCAGUAGAUGCAUCCAAGGGGAAGGACAUCUGGUUUGUAAAUGUACAUUCUUCACUCCUCCUGACUGUCCUGGACUUGGAAACAGCCUCAGGUGCUCCACAAGUAGACAGUGGCUUGGAUACUCAAUGGUCCCAGUGAGAGGCAACACAUGGGACACUACAUGGCAAAGUUGGAAACAUCUGAAACUAUCCAUAAAGAUCCCACAGACAGGGGUUGGUGCUGUUGGGAGUUUAUAGCACAGAGCAGAUUCUCGAGGUGGCUCUCACCAAGGCGAUAAUCAUGGCUCCCAUUGCUGAGCAGAAUGUGGAGGUAAAUUCCAUUGUGUGGGUGCUGGACAUCAGCUCCCUGAAGUAUAAAGGGCACCCUGGCCAUGGUUUCUCUUCCUCUCUGAAAAUUCAUGUUGUGCUGGCAUUUAGUGAAGCUGGUGUCCUUGAAGGACAAGUGUUCAGGAAAACCGGCAGACUUGUUCCACUGAGUGAGCAGAAUCACGCGGAAUGCUUCGGCCCUCAAGGCAAUAGGGCUGCAGAGGUGGACUAAUGGAUUACGCAUUCCAGUAUGCUCUUGGCAACGGAGGUGUGGACUUGGAUCUAUUUUAUCCAUAUCAUACAAAGAUGUGGUACAGGCUGGAGUAUGAAUGGCUGUAUAAACAUGGUCAGAGACUGGAAAAACCAACUGUUGAAUUGCCUCCCUGGGCAGCUAUCCACCUGUGUGAGAUGGCAGUGAUUAAGAGGAUUCUUUGAAAGCAGAACAUCCAUUGGAGGAAUUUUAUCUUAAAAUUGACCAGAUCUUAUUAAGUGUAACAAAAAACUUGAAUCAUUGAUAUCUGUGUGUGGUUUGAAUUCUGUGAAAUUCUUCAUAGGUAAAAUGUUGUCCUUUC